UCAAUUUCUCAAGUCUUCAGACUAUCUACUAGUUGAACGAGAAAUUCAUAUUAAUUUUGCUGAAGUAUCAUUGAGUAAUUCUGCAAAAUGAAUAAGACCCUAUUCCUCAUCCUCAUUCCCUGUAUAAUUGGGUUCAUCAGUGCCCAGUACGGAUACGGUGGAUACGGGGGAGCCGGGGGAUAUGGAGGAGUCGGAAGCCAGCUUCCAUAUGGAGGAUAUUACGCUGGAUACGCCUACCAGAACAAACAAAACCGCAAUGAUCUUCUGGUCGGAGGACUGUUCUUUUUGGCUUUCCUGCUACUCUUCAACAUAACCGGAUCAAUCACCGGAUAAAUACGUCAUCAAUGCACUGCUAACAUUACAGGGGUCAUUCAGCCAAAGAUGUCUUGCGCACAGGAUUUUUUAUCUAUCUAUUUCCUUUUUGAUUGUUACUUGUAUUAUAAUAAACCAUGCAUAUCAAA
rnacentral:lncRNA from 1 species